rnacentral:rRNA from 1 species
UACGGGGGGGCAAGCGUUGUUCGGAAUUACUGGGCGUAAAGGCUCGUAGGCGGCCAACUAAGUCAGACGUGAAAUCCCUCGGCUUAACCGGGGAACUGCGUCUGAUACUGGAUGGCUUGAGGUUGGGAGAGGAUGCGGAAUUCCAGGUGUAGCGGUGGAAAUGCGUAGAUAUCUGGAGGAACACCGGUGGCGAAGCGGCAUCCUGGACCAAUUCUGACGCUGAGGAGCGAAAGCCAGGGAGCAAACGGG